CUGGCCACCUAGGCAACAUCUCUUUCUAGAAUACUGAACUCUUAUGUUUGGUUUACUUGCUAUUCUCCCCCACACUGCAAGACUUGCCUUACACAUCACUGAAGCACUUGAAGUCUGGCUCCUGAUCUGUGUUCUGUCUGCAAAACAGAGAUGGUACUACCUGUGACCUAAUAAAGCCUUGCUGCUGUAAGCUGAACCACUCUGGGAAAAUUUCCAAGGAAUAAUGGGAGGAAUCCUCAAGGACAAGAUGAGGACAGCACAAGGCUGAAAUAUAUCCCAGUGAGGCUUCAAAGGAUGUGGAAGGAAAGCUACAGAUGGCAGGUGGCAGGUCAGCUCUUAGACAGGAGAACAGUAGGGCACCAACACAAGCUGGGGCAGGAAGGGGAAGCAAAGAGUCUGUCCCUCUGUGGCUUGGGUGGCACUGUCGCAAAGGGACAGUGGUGCAAACUGAGCAAGCAACAACGACCUGAUGGUUGAGGACCCCCCUCCAGUGCCUUUCACCCAUUCCUCCAGCCUGCAGAACCAAGCACAGCCCUGA